UACGUAGGAGGCAAGCGUUGUCCGGAAUUACUGGGUGUAAAGCGCGUGUAGGCGGCAGGCCAAGUCUGUGGUGAAAUCGCUCGGCUCAACUGGGCGGGGUCCAUGGAUACUGUCGGGCUAGAGUACGGAAGAGGCAAGUGGAAUUCCUGGUGUAGCGGUGGAAUGCGCAGAUAUCUGGAGGAAUACCGGUGGCGAAGGCGGCAUCCUGGACCGACAUUGACGCUGAACGGCGAAAGCUAGGGGAGCAAACGGG
rnacentral:rRNA from 1 species